UCGAACGCUUCUUUCCUCCCGAGUGCUUGCACUCAAUUGGAAAGAGGAGUGGCGGACGGGUGAGUAACACGUGGGUAACCUACCCAUCAGGGGGGGAUAACACUUGGAAACAGGUGCUAAUACCGCAUAACAGUUUAUGCCGCAUGGCAUAAGAGUGAAAGGCGCUUUCGGGUGUCGCUGAUGGAUGGACCCGCGGAGCAUUAGCUAGUUGGUGAGGUAACGGCUCACCAAGGCCACGAUGCAUAGCCGACCUGAGAGGGUGAUCGGCCACACUGGGACUGAGACACGGCCCAGACUCCUACGGGAGGCAGCAGUAGGGAAUCUUCGGCAAUGGACGAAAGUCUGACCGAGCAACGCCGCGUGAGUGAAGAAGGUUUUCGGAUCGUAAAACUCUGUUGUUAGAGAAGAACAAGGACGUUAGUAACUGAACGUCCCCUGACGGUAUCUAACCAGAAAGCCACGGCUAACUACGUGCCAGCAGCCGCGGUAAUACGUAGGUGACAAGCGUUGUCCGGAUUUGUUGGGCGUAAAGCGAGCGCAGGCGGUUUCUUAAGUCUGAUGUGAAAGCCCCCGGCUCAACCGGGGAGGGUCAUUGGAAACUGGGAGACUUGAGUGCAGAAGAGGAGAGUGGAAUUCCAUGUGUAGCGGUGAAAUGCGUAGAUAUAUGGAGGAACACCAGUGGCGAAGGCGGCUCUCUGGUCUG
rnacentral:rRNA from 1 species